UCCCAGCUGAUUGUAAGAGUGCUCUGUUGCCAUCACAAAAGACUCUCUUCUUUGGGAGAAAAGCUGAGUUUCCGGUGUGAGAUCAUCAGGUUCAAGAAAAGGAGAAAAAAAUGCUCUUAAAAAAUAACUGAAACAGACAGCAGAGCGGGAACUGGUGAUUGUCUGGCACACAGUCAGAUUGUCAGUCAUGGCAAGGCACGAGCAACACGGGCUUUGCAGCUGCAGGCUGAAAAAAAUCAGUGAGACUAAACAUCUGAAAGGCAAUUAACAUACAAGGUUCUCACCAUGCCUUCUGAUAGCUUUUUCGUCUCUCCUGGAUUGACAAGGUAAAACUGAUUGUACAUAAGAAGGUUUUGGCCUGAUUACAAGAGUUGGGGGCCAGGAAGUUUGUCUGCAGAAUUUAUUUAAUUUUAAUGGGAUGAAGCCGGCACUGUUCCAAGGGAGCUGGAUCCUGGUGAAAAAGAGGGUGUUUCUCUCCAACUAGGCUCUGGACUCAGAUUGACUCUGGACUCUGUCUGUAAAAUGCUUGAGUCUUCAGAAGUUUAGGUGCUUGGCCAAGUAAUGCCUAGUUCCUGUCAGAUGCUGUGGGCUAUAUAAUUCCUAUGACAGAGGGAAGCAGCUUAUAUAGCAGAUUUAUGACCAGCACAAAGAAAGCAUUCAUGGAUUCUGGUUCAUCACCGAAGUUGUGAAUGCACAGAGCAUUUAACUCUACAUGGCAUGAAGAGCUGCUGAACCUACAGAACAGUACAUUUAGUUUCCGAACUGUUAGCAGAAAAUUCAUACUGCAGAGAAUAUUAUCCACUGUUGCUUCAUCCUCACUGGUACGUCAGCAUUCAGCUAUUCUACACAUUAAGCAGACGCCACAUAGGAUGAUAGGAGAGAAAAAAGAAAUGGGAAGAAAGAGGGUGAGCUCUGAUGGAAUUUAGAUAGGAUAAUUCUGAAAAUAAUACAACGAUAUGGUACAAAACUUUUGUAUGUUGAAAUAAGUCUGUGUUUCCUAGAAAACAAUUAUGAAAUAACUACAGACAUGAAAACUUAGCCCCAAUCCAUGCCAGUAGAAGCAACUGGGAGGACACAAAUAAAAAUUAUAUGUGAACUACAAGAGCUCAUUCAGCAUGCAGCUCCCAGGAAAGAGGUCCAAGUGGAAACAUAACUGUGUAGAUAUCACUUCAAAACCUUUUGGUGGGAAGAUAGUAGGUGGCUGAUGGUGAAAGCUUCAGGGUUGGUUUCCACCUCAGUCCUGACAUACAAUGCCUUGUAUUCAUGACCACACAUCAUAUUAAUAGAAGAAAGCACAGCAUGCAGAUCUCAGUUGGUCAUUAAUAAUGAAAGCUCUCUCUUAAGUAAAUUAUGAUCUUAUUUUGGAAUGUACUGUACUUUCUCUGUAAUAUGAAACCAUGAAAUUCAUUAUUGUUUUUGGAAAUAAGUGUACUUUUGGUCCAAGUUCAAUGGUACAAUUCAUGAUUAGUCAUAUCUCUACUAAAGAGUAUGAAAUUGUGCCCAGUUCUGCUGGUAGUGGAUUUGACCAAGUUAUCUGUGGAAUGAACCUCCUCAGAGUUUUGGCUCAGAGACAGAGAAAGGAGAUGAGAAAAAAUAUCUUGACUCUCAGUUGUGAAAAAACAAAAUAAAUCACAGGCAUGCAUUUAUGUGGAAGAGAUAAUAUAACAGCCAAUAUUAGAAACAGAAUAUUCACACAAUUUGCAGCAUGCGCUUUUGAAUGAUGCUAUUGAAGAUUCAACUUUGCUAAGUAAAUAUAUGAUAAAAUGAUUAUAGUUCCUGACUAAGGAUCCUCUGUGCAAUUCACAAUAACUCUGUCGAGUCAAAAGGAAAAGAAUCAGAAAUAAAGACAUUUAUGGAAGUUCUAAAAGGUGAAGGGAAAGGAAAUGGUAUUGUUAAUGUAGCAGAUCCUUAAAAUAGUGAGUGAGUAGAAAUACUUUUAUACAAAGACUGAAAUGUAACAGACACCCACAUCACUGCAAUUCAGCCUCCUUCCUCUCCUUCAUUUCGUGUCAGAUUUCUUUUAUUAACCUAUCUAAUCUUUUUAAUUUGUAAAAUAGAAAGAAUAAUGUUCCCUUACUCACAGGAUGCUAUAUUGCUUAAUACAUUUGAAGUAUUUUGAAAUACAUGGAUUGUCCAUUCUGAAAAAGUUUUGAGAGUUUUAAUUGUGAUAAAAGGGUAGAGGUAGAUUUUAUCUAUCUUUUUAAAAUGGUAGAUGGAUUUUAUCAAUCAUUAUCUACUGGAUACUGAGAAUCUCUGUUACAUUGCUAAAACCUUGAGAACAUAUUUUAAGUAUUCCUAAACUAAUCAAUUUCUGCUUAUAUAGGUGCAGGUAUAUAGAUAUAGAUAAUAUAUUAUCUAUAAAUAUCUAUAACUUUAUGUUAAGACUAUUUUUGAGAAAUCAAAAAAUGAGGAUUGUUAAAAUCAUAUUGGAAUUGUUAACCAGACAUUUACCUAAAUCAUCGGCAUGAAAGCUGAAAGAACAGGAAGCCACUAAUUAGGAAGGAACAUUGUGAUUUCUUUCCUCCUUGUUGAGUUCAUGCUAAAUGACUCUUGUUCAUUCAGUCUGUUAUUGUGGAUCAUGGAUUCAUCAACCUCUGGUCAUUUUUGGUUUCCUCAUUUAGGUUUUCUCCAAGUUUUCAUCUUUCAAAGAGUAGCCAAUUAAAUGAUGAUAUGGACAAAAUAUAUCUUCUAGAUAAUAUUAUGAAUUCUAUUUCUAUCAGCUAAUUAUUUCAGUCUCCACUGAACAGUGAAUCAAUGAGAUUGCUUCUUAACAUGUCUUUCUUUUUCAGUGUGCAUGCUGAGGAUUCUUCAGAUUGUAUGGUACCUCUUACUACGAAUAAAAGUGGUGUUAUAACACAGAAUGAAGACCCUAAUAAAAGAAAGUAGUCAAAUGAACAUGCUUUUGCAGGAUAUAUUAUUGCAAACAAAAACUUUAAUAAAAAGUUAGGAUUAACAUUUAAUUUGAUAUAAUUUAAAUAUUCCAAAAUGUAUCUCCUAUUACUCUAGCAGUGACUCAAAGAUAUUGCAAUAAAAAAACUCGAUUAAUUGGUAUUACAUAUUUUAAGAGCAUUAGUCAGUUGUAUUGAAAUAUCCAAGAAUUCAUGUAAGAAAGGAGAGAAAACUGGGUUAUAUUCUCGAGUCACCUGUAUUACACUAUAUUAUUUUCUGGAUCUACAUUUUAUUAUUUUGUUGCUAUGACUUAUGACUUACUGCAAAAAUGCAAUAUUAUUGGAGAAAGGGUAUUUGUUGAAUCUCAGAGUUCAUUUUGCAACUGAUUUUAUGUCAAAAUUUCUCUUUCUAAAUGUUACUGCUAAUUAGGGGUAACUGAUGUUUUGCAUUUCUAAUGGAAGUUCCAAAGUAAGAAUAGAUAAAUUAAUAAAGGCACACUAAGAAAUCACUCAGACUUUCAGACUUCAGUUAUCUGUUCUAUUCAUAAAAUGGUUUGACAUCUUCAGGCUUGCAGGGAAUAAAAUGAACCAGGAAGAUCCCAGAAUGUACUGAAUUGUUGUCUUGGUAAUACCCCCAAAUGAAUUUUGUAGGCUAAUAAGGACUAUCUCUAA